CUACGGGGCGCUCCAGUGGGGUAUAUUGCACAAUGGAGGAAACUCUGAUGCAGCAACGCCGCGUGGAGGAUGACACUUUUCGGAGCGUAAACUCCUUUUAUAUAGGAAGAAGAUGACGGUACUAUAUGAAUAAGCGCCGGCUAACUCCGUGCCAGCAGCCGCGGUAAUACGGAGGGCGCAAGCGUUACUCGGAAUCACUGGGCGUAAAGAGCGUGUAGGCGGAUUAAAAAGUCAGAAGUGAAAUCCUAUAGCUUAACUAUAGAACUGCUUCUGAAACUCUUAAUCUAGAAUAUGGGAGAGGUAGAUGGAAUUUCUGGUGUAGGGGUAAAAUCCGUAGAGAUCAGAAGGAAUACCGAUCGCGAAGGCGAUCUACUAGAACAUUAUUGACGCUGAGACGCGAAAGCGUGGGGAGCAAACAGGAUUAGAUACCCCCGUAGUC
rnacentral:rRNA from 1 species